ensembl:Mt_rRNA
CAAAGGCAUGGUCCCGACCUUACUGUCAGCUCUAACUCAACUUACACAUGCAAGUUUCCGCAACCCCGUGAAUAUGCCCUCAAUCCCCUGCCCGGGGACGAGGAGCGGGCAUCAGGCACAAACAUUAGCCCAAGACGCCUAGCCAGGCCACACCCCCAAGGGAAUUCAGCAGUGAUAGACAUUGAGCCAUAAGUGAAAGCUUGACUCAGUUAGUGUUAAAAGGGCCGGUAAAACUCGUGCCAGCCACCGCGGUUAGACGAGAGGCCCCAGUUGAUAAUAUAACGGCGUAAAGGGUGGUUAAGAACAGAUAAAAAUAAAGCCAAAUGGCCCCUUGGCCGUCAUACGCUUCUGGGUGUCCGAAGCCCUAACACGAAAGUAGCUUUAGUAAACUCAUCUGACCCCACGAAAGCUGGGAAACAAACUGGGAUUAGAUACCCCACUAUGCCCAGCCGUAAACCCAGGCAUCCAACUACGAUCAAAUGCCCGCCAGGGUACUACGAGCAUCAGCUUGAAACCCAAAGGACCUGACGGUGUCUCAGACCCCCCUAGAGGAGCCUGUUCUAGAACCGAUAACCCCCGUCUAACCUCACCACUUCUAGUUACUCCAGCCUAUAUACCGCCGUCGUCAGCUUACCCUGUGAAGGUAAUAAAAGUAAGCAAAAUGGGCACAACCCAAUACGUCAGGUCGAGGUGUAGCGCAUGGAGUGGGAAGAAAUGGGCUACAUUUUCUAGUAUAGAAUAUUACGAAUAUGCACCAUGAAACAGUGCUUGAAGGAGGAUUUAGUAGUAAAAAGGAAACAGAGUGUCCCUUUGAACCCGGCUCUGAGACGCGUACACACCGCCCGUCACUCUCCCCCGUCAAAACGCACCAAAAGUACCUAAUGUAAUAGCACCGACAAGGGGAGACAAGUCGUAACACGGUAAGUGUACCGGAAGGUGCACUUGGAUUAAACC